GACGAACGCUGGCGGCGUGCCUAAUACAUGCAAGUCGAACGCAUUUUCUUUCACCGUAGCUUGCUACACCGAAAGAAAAUGAGUGGCGAACGGGUGAGUAACACGUGGGUAACCUGCCCAUCAGCGGGGGAUAACACUUGGAAACAGGUGCUAAUACCGCAUAAUUCCAUUUACCGCAUGGUAGAUGGAUGAAAGGCGCUUUUGCGUCACUGAUGGUUGGACCCGCGGUGCAUUAGCUAGUUGGUGGGGUAACGGCCUACCAAGGCUGCGAUGCAUAGCCGACCUGAGAGGGUGAUCGGCCACACUGGGGCUGAGACACGGCCCAGACUCCUACGGGAGGCAGCAGUAGGGAAUCUUCGGCAAUGGACGCAAGUCUGACCGAGCAACGCCGCGUGAGUGAAGAAGGUUUUCGGAUCGUAAAACUCUGUUGUUAGAGAAGAACAAGGAUGAGAGUGGAAAGUUCAUCCCUUGACGGUAUCUAACCAGAAAGCCACGGCUAACUACGU
rnacentral:rRNA from 1 species